CUACGGGGCGCAGCAGUGGGGAAUAUUGCACAAUGGGCGCAAGCCUGAUGCAGCCAUGCCGCGUGUAUGAAGAAGGCCUUCGGGUUGUAAAGUACUUUCAGCGGGGAGGAAGGGAGUAAAGUUAAUACCUUUGCUCAUUGACGUUACCCGCAGAAGAAGCACCGGCUAAGUCCGUGCCAGCAGCCGCGGUAAUACGGAGGGGCAAGCGUUAAUCGGAAUUACUGGGCGUAAAGCGCACGCAGGCGGUUUGUUAAGUCAGAUGUGAAAUCCCCGGGCUCAACCUGGGAACUGCAUCUGAUACUGGCAAGCUUUAGUCUCGUAGAGGGGGGUAGAAUUCCAGGUGUAGCGGUGAAAUGCGUAGAGAUCUGGAGGAAUACCGGUGGCGAAGGCGGCCCCCUGGACGAAGACUGACGCUCAGGUGCGAAAUCGUGGGGAGCAAACAGGAUUAGAUACCCUCGUAGUC
rnacentral:rRNA from 1 species